UACAUGGGGUGCAAACGUUGCUCGGAAUCAUUGGGCGUAAAGCGCGCGUAGGCGGUUGCUUAUGUCGGAUGUGAAAGCCCUCGGCUUAACUGAGGAAGUGCAUCCGAAACUGGGCAGCUAGAGUACGAAAGAGGGUCGCGGAAUUCCCGGUGUAGAGGUGAAAUUCGUAGAUAUCGGGAGGAACACCGGUGGCGAAGGCGGCGACCUGGGUCGAGACUGACGCUGAGGCGCGAAAGCUAGGGGAGCAAACGGG
rnacentral:rRNA from 1 species